CCGUUGGUGGUGCAAUUUAGCACAUGCUCCUGGAAAGAGUAAGAUCUGGGUUCAAAUCUCGGCUGAUGCA